rnacentral:rRNA from 1 species
AGUGAACGCUGGCGGUAGGCCUAACACAUGCAAGUCGAACGGCAGCACAGUAAGAGCUUGCUCUUACGGGUGGCGAGUGGCGGACGGGUGAGGAAUACAUCGGAAUCUACUUUUUCGUGGGGGGUAACGUAGGGAAACUUACGCUAAUACCGCAUACGACCUACGGGUGAAAGCAGGGGAUCUUCGGACCUUGCGCGAUUGAAUGAGCCGAUGUCGGAUUAGCUAGUUGGCGGGGUAAAGGCCCACCAAGGCGACGAUCCGUAGCUGGUCUGAGAGGAUGAUCAGCCACACUGGAACUGAGACACGGUCCAGACUCCUACGGGAGGCAGCAGUGGGGAAUAUUGGACAAUGGGCGCAAGCCUGAUCCAGCCAUACCGCGUGGGUGGAGAAGGCCUUCGGGUUGUAAAGCCCUUUUGUUGGGAAAGAAAAGCAGCAGGUUAAUACCCCGCUGUUCUGACGGUACCCAAAGAAUAAGCACCGGCUAACUUCGUG